GAACAAUCUGGAAAGAGCUUCGACGUUUCUAGUUUGGAAACAAAACUUUAAAGAAGAUGCAUUUCUGAUUCACAUUUAGUCAACUGUUGCACUCCAAUGGAGGCUUUCCUGAAGCAGUAACCUGUGUUUUACCAGUGCUAACAGGCCUGUAUUUUCCAGCAUUUUCUAUAUUUUUAUAUAUUUCAUAUAUAUUUAUAUAUUCCUUCUGUAAGAUCUGUAUUAAUUCUUUUUAUCACUCUCAUAGGACUACUGCUUUCCAUCUAGGAGGGACAGACAAGGUGGAGAUGAAAUUGUACUUGGCUUAGAUGCAAAACAGGUGUAAUUGCUUUUUCCAACUGUUACAGCACAGCACCAAUAUUCAGCAUUGAAAUUAGUGCUAGGGCACAUAACGAGUGAUCAAUAUCCUCUGUGCUGUAAACUUCUUUGUUAAUUCCAUUAAUACUAAAAAUAUUGGUGACAGAAUAUGAUAUUUAUUAAUGCUGGACAAGACUCCCACCAGUUUUCUAUCUUUGAUUCCUCAAGAGGAAGUUCUCCAUUGUGAAAGGCAACACAUUUUUGUUCAUAUAAAUUGUGAUCAACAUACGAAAUGAAAUUCUAGAUAAGUAGAAGAAUCCAGCCGGUUGAGGAAGAGACUGGACACGAGCAUUUAGCCACUGCCCUGCAGAUUUGGAGGAGGCAGCUUGCAUGCUGAUUUUCUAUUAAAUCUCUGGAAGGAGAUUGGGAAAACUCUGGAAUCUCAAGAAUAAUAUAUAUAUAUAACAGCUGCAGCUCCAGUACAGUGAAAAGAUGCAGUCCCUAACACUGUAAACUGGAACAUUUAAUCAAUAUUACAUUAUUCUGACAUUAGAAGAGAUAGUGCAUUGAACAUACAAUACUGCAUAACAGUUACAAAUAAACCCAAAAUAUGAUUAUCACACAAGAAAUAGGCAAUUUUUCUUAACCAAAAGCUUCAACUUCAAAACCAAUAAAUUCCUCUUUUAAUGAAAAAUGGCAGAUUUUUUAAAAACAGAGAAUAGAAAAUUUCUGCUUUUCUCACUAAGUAAUAGCCCCUUAAAAUUACAAGAGUGUACAAUUUUGAAAAGUACAAUUUCUGUUGGGCCAUUAGUUAUAAGGAAAAAAGCAGGAAUUCUGCUUUUCUGCAUUAAACAAGUAACAUCACUCAUUGAGCCUUUAAUUUUAUAUUUAUAUAUAGGUCAUUGUAAUUUGGGCAUUAAUUAACAGGGGUGUUGCAGAUAAUGCAAAAAAUAACCAGAUCUGUGAUUCGUUUUCCAUUUGCAAGCUCAAGAGAGCCCCAGCUUAGAUAUGAAGACUUCAUUCAGGUCGGAAUAAAAGCAUGGUAACUAUUGCAGUUGGCAGAUGGUAUUCUAUAACAAUAGUAUUUCAAAUGUCACAACUGUUUUCGAAUUUCUAGGGAUGCUGUAGUAUAGUGCAUUUGUUACAGGACCAGUAACCUAGAAGCCUGGGCUAAUCAACUGCAGACAUGAGUUCAAUCCCAACAUUGCAGUUGGGGAAUUUAAAUUCAGUUAAGUAAAUAAGUCUGGGAUAAAAAUCCAGUAACAGUAAUGGUUAGCAUGAAACUUUUAGAUUGUGGUUAAAAUCCAUCUGGUUCACUAAUGUACUUGAAGGAAGGAAAUCUGUCACCUUAGCUAUCAGGAAUGUGGCUCUUAUGUGACUCUUAACUGCCCUUUAAAAUGGCCUAGCAAGCCACUCAUUUGUAACAAUUUGCUGCAAAACAAAACUCACAGAUUGCCCAGUUCAAGAAGGCAGCUCACCACCAAAUUUUCCAAGGCAAUUAGGGGUGGGCAAUAAAUGCUGAUAUUGUCAUUGAAACCCACAUUCUAUGACCGAAUAAAACACUUAAUUUGUUCUACAUCCCAGAAUAUAAUUUGUUCCUGAUUUAACUCACUCAAUCACUUCCCCAGAACCACCUCAUCCAAUUCAGGGCCAGGGAGUCGGAGCCUAUCCCAACUGGCAAAGGGCACUAGGUGGAGUACACCCAGGACAGGAUGCCAGUCCAUCACAGGGCACACACUCGCACGCGCACUAAGGGGUAAUUUUUUGUAGCCAAUCCAUCUAACCAGCAUAUCUUUGGAUGGUGGGAAGAAACUGGAGCACCAGGAGGAAACCCACACAGAUAUGGAAAGAACGUGCAAUCUCCACACCCAGACAGACACCCGAGGUCAGAAUCGAACCCAGGUCCCUGAAGCUGUGAGGCAGCAGCGCUAACCACUGUGCCACGUGCUGCUCCCUGUAAUUGAACCGUAAUUUAAAAAUAAAAUAUUUGUAUGUAAAAGCACUUUAAUCCAGACCUGAAUGAAAAAUACUCUACACGAA